rnacentral:rRNA from 1 species
AGUGAACGCUGGCGGUAGGCCUAACACAUGCAAGUCGAACGGCCGCACAGUAAGAGCUUUCUCUUACUGUUGGCGAGUGGCGGACGGGUGAGGAAUACAUCGGAAUCUACUUUUUCUUGGGUGAUAACGUAGGGACACUUCCGCUAAUACCUCAUACUACCUACGGCUGAAAUCAGGGGAUCUUCGGACUUUGGCCGACUGUUUUAGCUGACUUCGCAUUAGCUAGUUGGCUGGGUAACGGACCACCAAGGCGACGAUCCGUAGCUGGUCUGAGAGGAUGAUCAGCCACACUGGAACUGAGACACGGUCCAGACUCCAACGGGAGGCAGCAGUAGGGAAUAUUGGGCAAUGGGCGCAAGCCUGACCGAGCAACACCGCGUGAGUGAAGAAGGUCUUCGGGUCGUAAAGCCCUGUUAUUGGGGAAGAAAAGAUGUAGGUGAAUACGCGGAUGUCCUGACGGUACCCAAACAAUAAGCAACGGCUAACUUCGUG